rnacentral:lncRNA from 1 species
CUGCUGUUUAUCUGUUCCUAGAGAUGCUAGAAUUUUGGAGAAUUUUAUCUUUGAAAAUCUUUAAAAUAACACAUGUUGAGUACCUGUAUGAUGAGAGUUUAAAUUCCUACCACAGCCAUAUAUACAUGCUUGCUAGACUUUGAGCCACACAUUUACUUUUUACUGCUUAUGAGCAUUGAGUGUGGUCAAGCUGUGUAGACCCUUAGGAGCUUGUCAUGCGGUUAAAAUCAAGAUUCACUUGCACGUUCACUCAUACAUGCUGCUUCUACUCUGGAAGUACACAUCCACAUACAUCCACUCCUUUCCAUCUCCAGAUUCACCCAAACUAUAUUCUACUCCUAUCCAGGAGAGAAUAGCCAAAAAGAUUAUCCUAUCCCUGUUAUUCCCUAUGAAAUAAAUGCUCGAGUUAUCUUGGUUACUACCACUUGCUAUAUUAUUUCACGAGAUGAGUGCUCUAAAAAAAGAGAGAAAGGUUAUGAGGAAAUAAAAAGAGGCAAGUGCCCAGAACCUCGAAAGAAAAAAAAAGUGAGACAAGAGGUAAAAAUGGACAAGUAUCCGAUAGUAGAAUUAGGGGUACAAGAUACCCACCUGAGAGAAAAGAAAAAGAAAAUGUAGAGCAUCUCAUUCUCCUCAAAAGUUUCAAAGAGCAAGAAAGGCAUGUAUCCCCUCAAAAGAGCACAAGUAGAAUUAGACUUUUACCAUUGUUAUCACCAUCAUCACCAUACACUAUUCAUUCGCCACACAUGCACAUCUUGAUUUGAGUUAUUGACAUGUUUCUCUGGAUCCAUGGUUUGACUAUGCAAUAAAUGUCUUGUAAGUGUGUAUACUUUAUCUCCCACCUAUGAGCUCCAGAUAUCAAAGCCUUAUUAGAGUAGGAUGAGAGAGAAGGCAAUAUCAUCACUGCCUUAGUGAGGAUCCAGAAAUACCACAAAAGAGAGAAUUAAGAGAGUCAUACAAGGAAUCUUUGAGUUUUAUUUUAAAAAUCUGCAAAAACUCC